rnacentral:tRNA from 1 species
GACACUUUGGCCGAGUGUUUAAGGCGGCGGCCUGCUAAGCCUUAAACACUCUGCCCGCGAGGGUUCGAAUCCCUCAGGUGUCG